rnacentral:rRNA from 1 species
CUACGGGAGGCUCCAGUGGGGAAUAUUGCACAAUGGAGGAAACUCUGAUGCAGCAACGCCGCGUGGAGGAUGACACUUUUCGGAGCGUAAACUCCUUUUAUAUAGGAAGAAGAUGACGGUACUAUAUGAAUAAGCGCCGGCUAACUCCGUGCCAGCAGCCGCGGUAAUACGGAGGGCGCAAGCGUUACUCGGAAUCACUGGGCGUAAAGAGCGUGUAGGCGGAUUAAAAAGUCAGAAGUGGAAUCCUAUAGCUUAACUAUAGAACUGCUUCUGAAACUCUUAAUCUAGAAUAUGGGAGAGGUAGAUGGAAUUUCUGGUGUAGGGGUAAAAUCCGUAGAGAUCAGAAGGAAUACCGAUUGCGAAGGCGAUCUACUAGAACAUUAUUGACGCUGAGACGCGAAAGCGUGGGGAGCAAACAGGAUAGAUACCCCCGUAGUC